rnacentral:sRNA from 1 species
GGUCCCAAAUUUCCAGAAUGCAACUGCCCCUCCAUGGACAUUCAAGCCAUGGAAGAGAAUCUUCUUCGAAUAACUGAAACCUGGAAAGCUUACAACAGUGACUUUGAGGAAUCAGGCUUGAAAUUCAAAUCCUGUUAUACUCUACAUAGACAAUAAAAAUUGGAAUGGAGUUUUAGGUUACUUUCAAAGGCUGAUUCAAUGUAAUGUGAAAAUUUAAACAAAUGCAAGUAAAUAACUU